rnacentral:rRNA from 1 species
AGUCGAGCGGAAGGCCCUUCGGGGUACUCGAGCGGCGAACGGGUGAGUAACACGUGAGCAACCUGCCCUAGGCUUUGGGAUAACCCUCGGAAACGGGGGCUAAUACCGAAUAUGACCUCGCAUCGCAUGGUGUGUGGUGGAAAGUUUUUCGGCCUGGGAUGGGCUCGCGGCCUAUCAGCUUGUUGGUGGGGUGAUGGCCUACCAAGGCGACGACGGGUAGCCGGCCUGAGAGGGCGACCGGCCACACUGGGACUGAGACACGGCCCAGACUCCUACGGGAGGCAGCAGUGGGGAAUAUUGCACAAUGGGCGGAAGCCUGAUGCAGCGACGCCGCGUGAGGGAUGACGGCCUUCGGGUUGUAAACCUCUUUCAGCAGGGACGAAGCGUAAGUGACGGUACCUGCAGAAGAAGCGCCGGCCAACUACGUGCCAGCAGCCGCGGUAAGACGUAGGGCGCGAGCGUUGUCCGGAUUUAUUGGGCGUAAAGAGCUCGUAGGCGGCUUGUCGCGUCGACCGUGAAAACCUGGGGCUCAACCCCAGGCCUGCGGUCGAUACGGGCAGGCUAGAGUUCGGUAGGGGAGACUGGAAUUCCUGGUGUAGCGGUGAAAUGCGCAGAUAUCAGGAGGAACACCGGUGGCGAAAGGCGGGUCUCUGGGCCGAUACUGA